UACGUAGGGUGCGAGCGUUAAUCGGAAUUACUGGGCGUAAAGCGUGCGCAGGCGGUCUGUUAAGACCGAUGUGAAAUCCCCGGGCUCAACCUGGGAACUGCAUUUGUGACUGCAUGGCUGGAGUGCGGCAGAGGGGGAUGGAAUUCCGCGUGUAGCAGUGAAAUGCGUAGAUAUGCGGAGGAACACCGAUGGCGAAGGCAAUCCCCUGGGCCUGCACUGACGCUCAUGCACGAAAGCGUGGGGAGCAAACAGG
rnacentral:rRNA from 1 species